rnacentral:rRNA from 1 species
GGAAUUGACGGGGAGCACCACAACGGUGGAGCUUGCGGUUUAAUUGGAUUCAACGCCGGAAUCUUACCGGGACCGACAGCAAUAUGAAGGCCAGGCUGAAGACUUUGCCGGAUUAGCUGAGAGGUGGUGCAUGGCCGUCGUCAGUUCGUACUGUGAAGCAUCCUGUUAAGUCAGGCAACGAGCGAGACCCACGCCAACAGUUGCCAGCUCGUCCUACGGGAUGGUGGGGACACUGUUGGGACCGCCUCUGCUAAAGAGGAGGAAGGAAUGGGCAACGGUAGGUCAGCAUGCCCCGAAUUAUCUGGGCUACACGCGGGCUACAAUGGGUGGGACAAUGGGUAUCGACACCGAAAGGUGAAGGCAAUCUCCUAAACCCAUCCGUAGUUCGGAUUGUGGGCUGCAACUCGCCCACAUGAAGCUGGAAUCUGUAGUAAUCGUGUCUCAAAAUGGCACGGUGAAUAUGUCCCUGCUCCUU